ACAUAGGCGAUUGGCCCUGAUGCAUCCAGCGCCCCAGUGUAUGAACUCAGAUCGCCCUACGGAGCACACAAGGAAUUUCCCCAAGUGGCGCAACUUGAGGAGCAACGCGGAGUGGAGGACGACGGCUUCUGGGUUUGAAACAUCAUUUUGGGGUGGGACGGCCACUGACCGGGACCACCAAGAAUGCAGGCCCUGCAUACAUUUGUGCAUGCAGCCGGCGGGAAAGACAAGAAGGGGGCAAGGUCGUUUGCUCUGGAUGGUUCGGUUGGGUGGUAAUGGGCUGUGGGAGGGAGGGCUGUUUGGGUGGCUGGCUGGCUGAAACCCCGCUUAACGGGGCGAGGCGUGCCGAUACGCGCAGACUUGAGGCGAGCAGAGGGUGGUGGAAUUCCGGGUGGAGCGGUGAAAUGCGUAGAGAUCCGAGGAACGCCAGUGUGGAAGCCGGCCACCUGGGCUCGGCCUGACGCUGCGGCGCGACAGCGUGGGGGAGCAAACCGGAUUAG
rnacentral:rRNA from 1 species